GUUUUCGGAUAAUCGCAGGAUAGAGUAAUCUAUUUUGAGGAAAGUCCAUGCUCGCACAGGCUGAGAUGCGUGUAGUGAUCGUGCUUAACGAAAAAAUAAGUUAAGGUACUUGUUAACUAAUGAGUAACGGCAGAUAAAAUGGCUAAGGUGCUUUGUGCACUAUGUCAGAGUAGUCUUGAAAGUGCCACAGUGACGAAGUAAUUUUAGAAAUAAAAUUAGUGGAACGGGUAAACCCCUCGAGCGAGCAACCCAAACAUAUGGUAGGGGCACCAAUCUCAAGGAAAUGAACUUAGAGAAGGGACAGUGUAUUCUGUAGACAGAUGAUUAUCAUCAUUAUCCGUUCCUGAGGGAUAAUGAUACAAAACAUGGCUUACAGAA
rnacentral:RNase_P_RNA from 1 species